AUCAUCCCCAUGAUAUCGCUGUACUCUGCCUCCUAGCUCCAUCAUCCCCAGGGUACAGCUGUACUCUGCCUCUAGCUCCAUCAUCCCCAGGAUAUCGCUGUACUCUGCCCCCUAGCUCCAUCAUCCCCAGGGUACAGCUGUACUCUGCCUCUAGCUCCAUCAUCCCCAGGAUAUCGCUGUACUCUUCCCCCUAGCUCCAUCAUCCCCAGGAUAUCGCUGUACUCUGCCCCCUAGCUCCAUCGUCCCCA